GACGAACGCUGGCGGCGUGCUUAACACAUGCAAGUCGAACGGUGAACCGGGCUUCGGCCCGGGGAUCAGUGGCGAACGGGUGCGUAACACGUGGGCAACCUGCCUCAGACACUGGGGAUAACCCCGGGAACCGGGGCUAAUACCGGAUACUCCGACCGGACUGCAUGAUCCGGCCGGGAAAGCUCCGACGGUCUGAGAUGGGCCCGCGGCCUAUCAGCUUGUUGGUGGGGUAACGGCCCACCAAGGCGACGACGGGAGC
rnacentral:rRNA from 1 species